AGGAUAAAAGAACCAGGCUUCUGGAUUUCCAGUUACCGUGUUAUGGAAGAGAAAAACAAAAAAAAACGAAAAAACCAGGGCAUGAGUGGCCAGGUGUCUGGACUAGGGAAAGACCCCCUAGAAUGUCUUAAUACAGCCUCACAGGUCUGUCCCCCAAGCUCCCCCCAUGGCUUUCCUUUUUAGGGUGGAACCAAAUUUCCGUGCUUUCAAAAAGAUCCCGCCCCCCUCCCCUCUGGCUCUACUCCAGGGUCUCGCUCAAACGGUUGAAAAAAUAAACAGACUCUGGGAGCUGGGGCCCGGCCUGUCGCUGGGGUUGUUCAGAGGCUGUCUGCCACCCUACAAUUCACACACUGCACUCAUCACACCCUGGAGCUACUCAGAGUCCUGCUAGCUUUCCUUCCGGUAGGCAGACUCCCAUCCCAAAAGCCUCAGAAAAGCCCCAUUAGGCUUCCCCUGGGCUCUCCAACCUACAGACCGGCUCCCAGUUUAGCACUAAGACAGGUCGCUAAAGCCUGGAACCAGGAGGAAGGGAGAGGGGUUUCCAUCCCCAGAGUGGCUUCCCAGCCUCAAAAGGAUCUGCUUGGCUGGCUGCAGGAGGGUACGGAGCUCCCAGUGAGGACAGGGAUUACGAUUAAAGCCCCUUCUGCCUUUCCUUUCUGAGAACCUUAUAAUGUGGGUGCCCUGAGGAACCGGGAGGCCCCAUCUGCCUGCACCAGGUCCCUCCUAGCUCCACAUUCGUCUACAGGUCCUCGGUUUCACCACUUCCUGGAGACUGAGGUAUGGGAAGUCAACGCAUUGGGGGUGGGUCUGAAUACAAAGACAGGAAUAAAGGACACUGGUGCAAGCGUGGCGGAGAGGUCGUGAUGCAGUGUGUGCUGAGAAUUACACACUCAGAUUCCAGAUGACAGCACUUUGGGACACGCUCUGACCUCAGCGACCGCCUCUUAGCUCGCCUCUCCCUAAAGAAACACUGGCACCCGUUCCAGAUGCCCUCAGAGUCUGGCCCCCAGAAGAACCCUGCUUGCACUUGGCUGCUGAGGCAACAACCUGACUGGGGUGACCCCAUGGUUCUGUCAGCCAAAGAGGAUGGUGUCUCCUCCAGGUUGGAAAGCACGGGCAUGCUACUCUCGAGAAGGAGAGUGAUUCAUCCUGCUGCAGAAGUGGAGCUUGUAAGCCCAGCGCUCAGAAGGCUGGGGUAGGAUGACGAUGGUCAGCCAGGCUGCAGAGCUGGGUAGUAAUUGCCAGGGAAGAAAAAGGAGGAGGAGAGAAGGAAGGAAGGAAGGAAGCCACCACAGCUAGGUGUGGUGGUGCAUGCCUGGAGUCCCAGCACUUGGAAUAGAUGCAGAAGGAUCAAGAGUUCAAGGUCAUCAUCAGCUAUAUAAUUUAAAGUCACCCUGACCUGUAUGAAACCCUGUCUCAAAAUAAAAUAAAUAAAUAUAAACAAAAGGCCAUGUGGUGUCUCAUGCCUAAAAUCUGGACGCUAAGCACUGUGGAGGCUGAGAUGGGAGGAAAGCCACAGUUGAGGCUACCUGGGCUACAUAGUGAGUUCCAGGGGAGUCUGAGCUACCCUGGGCUACAUAGUGAGUUCCAGGGGAGUCUGAGCUACAGAGUGAGAAGCUUAAAAAGAAAGAAAAUGGACAAUUCAGGUUGCAGCCAAAGCUCCCGGCUUCACCAGA